AAUGACAGAAUUGGAAAACCUACGUACUUUGACAGAAUUCAGAGGACUGGAAGGCUUUGUCUGAAAACUAAAACUUACUGAUUUGAAAAAUAUUACUGUAGUACUCCUCCAACAUUAUAAUCUGUACUCCUGUUGGUCCUAUUCUGCAAGGCUGAGGCUGCCUACCACCUUCGACACUGUGCCAUGAUCGUUCCUCUGAAUGGAGUGCUGGAAGUAGGGAAUCCCUCAAAGUGAUCUUUUAUCAGAGCUGUCAUUUAAAUGGUAAAUCUAAUUGAUAGAGGAGAUCUGCCCCAUAAAGCAGUUGAGGCAUCUCUGUGCUGAACUGUCUCAUCUGAAAGAGCCUGACAGCAAAUGAAGACAGAGAAGUAUCCUUUGAUGAGAAAAUGCAAAUCCCAAACAAAACAUUUGCAGAACUACUAAUCACCAUUUCCGUACAACUGAGCAAUGAUGUGGUAUUUAUUAUAGAAUGACUCAAAGAUCAAACAUUCCCUGAAGUGUGGUAGAAGGCAGGAAGAAUGACAUUUGCUAAUUUGAAUUUCAGAAAGCACCUAAACCACAUUCUGAUCUCCAGCUCUUAAUCACUGGUUUUACUGGUGACCAGAAGAAUAAGUUUGAAAUGGAAUCAGAUUAAGCAAAGACUCAGAUACUGAAGACGAAAAUUCAGAUCCAGACUUCCUCAGAGAAAGUAUGUGUUUGGUGGAACUGACUCCUGCUUUGAAGAAAGAAUGAAUGAUAUGAGGACUAAAAUGUCUUUGGGGAAAGCUCUGGAAUGGAAGGGAACCACCCCAAGAAGAGACUGAAGGUCAAAUAUAUGGCAUUGUUUUGGAAUGUGGGUUAUUCAGAGGGUAGCCAAGAAUAUGGAAGAGAAAUGUGAGGGAAACAAAUAGGAUAAAAGUAAUGGAAAGUUGGAAAAUAAAGGUAAGGUUCAUCUCAGCUAAAGCUGAAUGUGUUUGUCUGCCUGUAAAUAGAUGCAUCUUUCUGAAUGAGUUAUCCUAAACUUUCUUUGUGUACUCACAGGAGGCAAAUAUAAUCUUGAACUUCCCUGUUAGAAUAAAUAGAAUUACCCUUCUAGAGGUGUUUCUCUGUCUCCAUUAACUGGAGGACCCGUGAGCUGCUCACCACAGACAUGGAUGUAUAAUAAUCUCACUCAGUUUUUUUAUUUUUACUAUAUUUUAAACUUAAAACAUCUGUGACAAUUAGAAAAGAACUGGUCUUUUUAAAAAUUUUAGUACUAUGAAAAUCCUCCUAAUUCUCCUCUUCUGUAAUGAACCUACACUUCAUUCCCUGCUCUCACUUUGAUUCCCUGAAUAUGAAAGUUUCCAUAAAGUCAUAUCAUAUAUAUACAGGAGUAAGGGUGUUAGCAGGAUAAGCAACUCUUGAGGUGAGGGUUAGAAGUUGUUUAUAAGUAAGUCCUGUAAAAAUACAUGUACAUUUUCUUUUGCAUUUGGAAUAUACAAGUCAGAAUCUCAUGUAGUCUUACAGAGUAAAUAAAUGGCAGACUCAUAUUUGAAUUUGAAAGUGGACUGUAAAUCUGUGUAUUCUUGGCAUUAUCUGGCUUCAGAAAGGUUACAGGCAUAUGGGACUAGUUUUUCUCAUAGACUUUUCUAUUUGACAAUAUGAUACGCUGAGAUAUGGAAGAGUCUGACAUAUCUGUGUCCCUGCAAACAUCUGGAUGGGGUAGGCAGAGCUGUUAUGGUUCACCAAAACCUGGCUUCCAUAUGUUAUAUCCUUCCACUGGGGUCUCUGGAUUGCAUCAUGGGGUCUGGAUUUGUAAAUCUCUGUAGGCAUCAAAUCUAUUCAUAACAAGUGGUUUUGAUUGACAUGUGAGCAGCUGUGAUAAACUGAAAGGAAAAAACUGAAAUGCAGACUGCUGACUGACAUUAUUUCUCAGCAUUGUGCCAGCUUGUUAUAACAGCAAAAUCUGUUUUAAGAAAAAUAAACAGUAGGAACUUUGCAAACUUCUGGUUGUUUUCUGAAUAGAAAGCUGACAUUUUGAUAUAUUGCAGCCAUGGCCACAAGAAGA